rnacentral:rRNA from 1 species
GUGCUCGGUGGCCCGGUCACGCUGGCGCUGCGGGUGCUGCCGGUAACGGGUGAUGGACGGCCGCCGGGGGCUCGCGAAUGGCUGACCUGGCUGSUGCACUCCCCGGGKGRCAAMUUUYCUGUCGCACCCGAUCACCGCAUUCGUCCUCUUUGUGGCCUCGCCCUAUAUCGUCUAUUUCACACCGCUGUUCGAUACCUUCGUCCGCUAUCACUGGGGCCACGAGUUCAUGGCGAUCCAUUUCCUGGUGGUCGGGUACUUGUUCUACUGGGCGAUCAUCGGCAUCGACCCAGGGCCGCGCCGACUGCCCUACCCGGGCCGGAUCGGGCUGUUGUUCGCGGUGAUGCCGUUCCACGCCUUCUUCGGGAUCGCGCUGAUGACGAUGUCGUCUACGGUGGGCGCUACGUUCUAUCGUUCCGUCAAUCUGCCGUGGUUGUCGAGCAUCAUCGCCGACCAGCAUCUCGGCGGUGGAAUUGCUUGGAGCCUAACGGAAUUGCCGGUCAUCAUGGUCAUCGUGGCGCUGGUUACCCAAUGGGCGCGCCAAGACCGCCGAGUCGCGUCCCGCGAAGACCGGCAUGCCGACAGCGACUACGCCGACGACGAGCUGGAAGCCUACAACGCGAUGCUUCGCGAGUUGUCGCGAAUGCGGCGCUGAAUGUGCAGAUGAUUUUGGAAGCGGUUGGCGUAUCUGCCCGUGCUCGGCUACACCAGGACCGCGGGGCGCUGGCACGCGAACGAUCCGGCGAGGAGGUGGGCCAGCCGGAGAUUCCCUCCACAGGCUGCAGCAGAAGUCCUGGAUCUGACCCCGACCUGAACCCUUGUCAGUGCGGUCCAUCGACGGAAAAUUGCUGUUCCGCCAUGCUGGGCAUGCUAUUGAGCGCCAAAAUUGCGUAGCCGCAAGCUGUUUGACACGACGAAAAAUGACGAGAACGCCAUGGCGGCACCGGCGAUCAAAGGGUUGAGCAGUCCGGCGGCGGCAAUCGGGAUGGCUGCGACGUUGUACCCGAACGCCCAGAUCAUGUUCAUCCGGAUCGUCCGCAUGGUUGCACGGGCCAGGUCCAGCGCCUGCGGAACAGUAUUCAGAUCAUCGCGCACCAGAAUGAUGUCGGCUGCACCGAGCGCGACGUCGGUGCCACGCCCGAUCGCCAACCCCAAGUCGGCACCCACCAACGCGGGACCGUCGUUGAUGCCGUCACCGACCAUGGCGACGGKAUGUCCUUCCUCGCGGAGCCGUUGGAUCACGUCGACCUUGCCUUCGGGCAGCAUAUCGGCGACAGCGGAGUCGAUGCCGACCUGCGCCGCCACCGCGUCGGCGGCGGCCCGAUUGUCGCCGGUGAGCAGAAUCGUCCGCAGCCCGCGGCUGCGUAGCGCAGCGACGGCGGCAGCCGCUGAAUCCUUGAGGGUGUCGGCGAUUGUCAGGGCUGCGCGGACGACACCGUCGACCGACACAAAAACGACAGUCUCGCCUCGGGAUUCGCCGUCCAGGCGCGCGGACACCAGAGCCGCGUCGUGGCAGGGCGUGGUCCGGGUAAUCCAGGAUGGCUUGCCGACCUCAACGUGAUGGCCGCCGACUUCCCCCGAUACACCGCAGCCCGCGACGGCGACAAACCCGUUGWCUGGACCCGGAUCCGGCGAAGCGGCAACGAUGGCCGCCGCCAUCGCAUGCUCGGAAGCCGAUUCGACAGCGGCGGCGAGGSCAAGCACUUCCUCGCGAUCUCGCUCGCUGGUGCCUGAACCUGCCAUUGUUACGGUGCUCACCGCCAGCUGCCCAACCGUCAACGUGCCGGUCUUGUCGAACACCACGGUGUCGAUGCUCCGGAUGGUUUCCAGUGCCCGGUACCCCUUGAUAAAGAUCCCUAGCUGCGCUCCCCGUCCGGAAGCAACCAUCAUGGCGGUAGGUGUCGCGAGCCCAAGCGCACACGGGCACGCGAUCACCAACACCCCUAGCGUGACCGAGAACGCGCGAUCCGCGCCUGCGCCGCUGACGAGCCAGGCCGCACCUGCAAGUCCAGCAAUGACGAAAACCACCGGCACGAACACGCCCGCGAUGUGGUCGGCGAGGCGCUGGGCACGCGCCUUCUGCGUCUGGGCUUGCUCCACGAGGCGGACCAUCGCGGCGAACUGGGUAUCGGCCCCUACCGCGGUGGCCUCGAUGACCAGGCGGCCGUCCAUCACGACCGUGCCCCCCACGACCGAGGCCGCCGGAUAGGCACGGACCGGCUUGGCCUCACCGGUCAUGGCGCUCAUAUCGAUCGCCGCGCUGCCGUCGACAACGACUCCGUCAGCUGCGAUGGUUUCCCCCGGCCGCGUCACGAAGCGCUGGCGCUUCUUGAGUUCGCUCGCCGGUAUCACUAGCUCCGCGCCGUCGGGCAGCAGCACCGCCACAUUCUUGGCGCCUAGCUCCGCCAGCGCMCGCAGCGCGCUGCSGGCCUUGGACUUGGCUCUGUGACUUCAMAGUAACGACCGGCAAGAACGAAGACGGUCACACCGGCCGCGACCUCGAGGUAGAUCGAGUCGCUGUUGAGAAUGGCCCGCCAGAUUCCCGAGCCUUCCCGUGGSGGCUGAUCGCCGAAGRCGGRCGAAAGCGACCAGGCGGUGGCGGCSRCUGMUCUUCCGAYCKAGAUCAGCGUUUCCAUGGAUGUCGUCCGGUGGCGCGCGUUUCGCAGCRCGWCYGAGUGGAAGGGCCAUKCGGCCCAGGUCACAACCGGAGCGGCCAGGGCCGAUCAAUAUGUAUCCCCAGCCGGGAACCCUGGCGCUGGGGACGAUCGCGAACAACGUCGACAGGUCAGCCAGVGGCMCGAACAACMCCGCCGCGACUAGCAG